rnacentral:piRNA from 1 species
UGUGUCUGGCCUGCUUACUUAAUAUAUC